UACGUAGGGUGCAAGCGUUAUCCGGAAUUAUUGGGCGUAAAGGGCUCGUAGGCGGUUUGUCGCGUCGGGAGUGAAAUCCACUGGCUUAACUGGUGGCUUGCUUUCGAUACGGGCAGACUGGAGGUAUGCAGGGGAGAACGGAAUUCCUGGUGUAGCGGUGAAAUGCGCAGAUAUCAGGAGGAACACCGGUGGCGAAGGCGGGUCUCUGGGCCGAUACUGACGCUGAGGAGCGAAAGCGUGGGGAGCGAACAGG
rnacentral:rRNA from 1 species